AGGUGAAGAACUUUUCCUUUUCCUGGUGUUGGGUGCUGCCUAAUUUCUGUGCUGCUGUGUGCCCCUGUAAGGAUUGGUGAAAGGCUCUUUAGAGCUCCAAGGAGCUGCUGGAUCUGUACAGAGACUCCAACUAGUGUUUUCCCAGGGAAUGGCAAGACAAAUCUUACCUCAGGAGCAGGAAUGGCAAAUGCCACGGCAAAGAAUGGAUGCCAGCAAAUUUCCAGAACCCUGGAUUUCAAGGGUCCUGGAAGAUCUCCUGCUUCCAACCUCGCUCUCAACCUGACCUAGUCCAGAAUCACGUAUAAAUAGGUAAGUUUUGAUGUAAUGUUUUGUAAGUUGUUUUAUUUUCACUGCACCUGUACACUUUGUCUUCUUAGGUACGAACCCCAGCCCCUCAAACAUCAGCAGGCACAGCAAAUGGACACCCUCUCUUCAAGCCUGAUGUUAUUUAAAACACCUACACUCACUGGCAGGCUCCUACAUCACUUGGAAAAUGAGUAGGUGGCAACAUCACUAAGCCAUAAAAUGGUAUUUUAAAA